CUGGAAUCGCUAGUAAUCGCAGGUCAGCAUACUGCGGUGAAUACGUUCCCGGGUCUUGUACACACCGCCCGUCACACCAUGGGAGCCGGAAAUGCCCGAAGCCGGUGACCAAACCAAUAAGGAAGGAGCCGUCGAAGGCAGGUCUGAUAACUGGGGUGAAGUCGUAACAAGGUAAC
rnacentral:rRNA from 1 species